rnacentral:tRNA from 1 species
GGAGAGAUGUCCGAGUGGAUGAAGGAGCACGAUUGGAAAUCGUGUGUACUGUGAAAGGUACCGAGGGUUCGAAUCCCUCUCUCUCCGCCA